GGGUUGUGAGGUUAAGCGACUAAGCGUACACGGUGGAUGCCCUGGCAGUCAGAGGCGAUGAAGGACGUGCUAAUCUGCGAUAAGCGCCGGUAAGGUGAUAUGAACCGUUAUAACCGGCGAUUUCCGAAUGGGGAAACCCAGUGUGACUCGUCACACUAUCAUUAACUGAAUCCAUAGGUUAAUGAGGCGAACCGGGGGAACUGAAACAUCUAAGUACCCCGAGGAAAAGAAAUCAACCGAGAUUCCCCCAGUAGCGGCGAGCGAACGGGGAGGAGCCCAGAGCCUGAAUCAGCAUGUGUGUUAGUGGAAGCGUCUGGAAAGGCGCGCGAUACAGGGUGACAGCCCCGUACACAAAAGCGCAUGUGCUGUGAGCUCGAUGAGUAGGGCGGGACACGUGGUAUCCUGUCUGAAUAUGGGGGGACCAUCCUCCAAGGCUAAAUACUCCUGACUGACCGAUAGUGAACCAGUACCGUGAGGGAAAGGCGAAAAGAACCCCGGCGAGGGGAGUGAAAAAGAACCUGAAACCGUGUACGUACAAGCAGUGGGAGCCCCACCACCAAAGCAUUCUCUGGUGUUGAAGGCCCUGCAAAGCAGCAUCGCGGUGGCGGAGCGUCGUUUGCGACGCCCAACACACAAAACAAGCGGUGAGUGCUUUGGGGUGGGGUGACUGCGUACCUUUUGUAUAAUGGGUCAGCGACUUAUAUUCUGUAGCAAGGUUAACCGAAUAGGGGAGCCGGAGG
rnacentral:rRNA from 1 species